AAAACCUUAAGUUAUCCCCAAACUAUUUGUCUUCAAAACAUAAAAAACUAAAGUAGGUUUUA
rnacentral:tRNA from 1 species